GACGAACGCUGGCGGCGUGCUUAACACAUGCAAGUCGAGCGGUAAGGUCCUUUCGGGGGUACACGAGCGGCGAACGGGUGAGUAACACGUGGGUGACCUGCCCUUAGCUCUGGGAUAAGCCUGGGAAACUGGGUCUAAUACCGGAUAUGACUCCAUGACGCAUGUUGUGGGGUGGAAAGCCUUGUGCGGCUAGGGAUGGGCCUGCGGCCUAUCAGCUUGUUGGUGGGGUGAUGGCCUACCAAGGCGACGACGGGUAGCCGGCCUGAGAGGGCGACCGGCCACACUGGGACUGAGACACGGCCCAGACUCCUACGGGAGGCAGCAGUGGGGAAUCUUGCGCAAUGGGCGAAAGCCUGACGCAGCGACGCCGCGUGGGGAUGACGGCCUC
rnacentral:rRNA from 1 species